rnacentral:misc_RNA from 1 species
GUUUUCGCUUUAAGUUUGUAGCAUACGUUACUUGCGUGUCAAAAAAGAACCAGUUCACAGGGUGAGAUUGGUGACGCCUCUGAACGAGGGCAAUUCACUAAUGAUCCUUCCGCAGGUUCACCUACGGAAA